rnacentral:rRNA from 1 species
GACGAACGCUGGCGGCGUGCCUAAUACAUGCAAGUAGAACGCUGAAGAGAGGAGCUUGCUCUUCUUGGAUGAGUUGCGAACGGGUGAGUAACGCGUAGGUAACCUGCCUGGUAGCGGGGGAUAACUAUUGGAAACGAUAGCUAAUACCGCAUAAAAUGGAUUAUCGCAUGAUAAUCCAUUGAAAGAUGCAAAUGCAUCACUACCAGAUGGACCUGCGUUGUAUUAGCUAGUUGGUGGGGUAACGGCUCACCAAGGCGACGAUACAUAGCCGACCUGAGAGGGUGAUCGGCCACACUGGGACUGAGACACGGCCCAGACUCCUACGGGAGGCAGCAGUAGGGAAUCUUCGGCAAUGGACGGAAGUCUGACCGAGCAACGCCGCGUGAGUGAAGAAGGUUUUCGGAUCGUAAAGCUCUGUUGUAAGAGAAGAACGAGUGUGAGAGUGGAAAGUUCACACUGUGACGGUAUCUUACCAGAAAGGGACGGCUAACUACGUG